rnacentral:rRNA from 1 species
GGCCGCGUCGACGACGGUACCUGAGGAGGAAGCCACGGCUAACUACGUGCCAGCAGCCGCGGUAAUACGUAGGUGGCAAGCGUUGUCCGGAAUUACUGGGUGUAAAGGGAGCGCAGGCGGGUGUGCAAGUUGGAUGUUUAAACUAUGGGCUCAACCCAUAGGUGCAUUCAAAACUGUAUAUCUUGAGUGGUGCAGAGGCAGGCGGAAUUCCCGGUGUAGCGGUGGAAUGCGUAGAUAUCGGGAGGAACACCAGUGGCGAAGGCGGCCUGUCGACGCGGCCG